rfam:Oryza barthii chromosome 1, whole genome shotgun sequence.
UUUAGCCACGGUCAAGGAUUUUGUGUUCAAUGUUUUAUCGUCCGUCUUAUUUAAAAUAUUUUUAUAAUUAUAUUUUUAUUAUAUUAAUGAUAAAAUAUGAAUAGCACUUAGUGUUAUUUAUUUUUAAACUUUUUUCUAAAAUUUUUAAAUAAGAUGGAGAGUGAAAUAUUAGACACGAGAACUUAUAACCGUACUUAGA